rnacentral:rRNA from 1 species
UACGUAGGGGGCUAGCGUUGUCCGGAAUCAUUGGGCGUAAAGAGCGUGUAGGCGGCCGAGUAAGUCCGACGUGAAAUCUGGAGGCUCAACCUCCAGCGGUCGUUGGAAACUACUCGGCUAGAGUCCGGAAGAGGAGAGUGGAAUUCCUGGUGUAGCGGUGAAAUGCGCAGAUAUCAGGAAGAACACCGAUGGCGAAAGCAGCUCUCUGGGACGGUACUGACGCUGAGACGCGAAAGCGUGGGGAGCGAACAGG